CCUACGGGUGGCAGCAGUGGGGAAUAUUGCGCAAUGGGGGAAACCCUGACGCAGCAACGCCGCGUGAGUGAGGAAGUAUCUCGGUGUGUAAAGCUCUAUCAGCGGGGAAGAAGGAAGACGGUACCCGACUAAGAAGCCCCGGCUAACUACGUGCCAGCAGCCGCGGUAAUACGUAGGGGGCGAGCGUUAUCCGGAUUUACUGGGUGUAAAGGGAGAGUAGACGGCGUGGCAAGUCUGAAGUGAAAGCCCGUGGCACAACCGCGGAACCGCUGUGGAAACUGUGAGGCUGGAGUGCUGGAGAGGAGAGCGGAAGUCCAGGUGUAGCGGUGAAAUGCGUAGAUAUAAGGAGGAACACCAGUGGCGAAGGCGGCUUACUGGAAAGUGACUGACGUUGAGGCUCGAAAGCGUGGGGAGCGAACAGGAUUAGAUACCCCGGUAGUC
rnacentral:rRNA from 1 species